GGCUCGACGCGUGAAUAUUUUUUCGCAGUGAUCGCAGUUAUUUCCAGGGUUUUCGUCUCGUCGCCAAUCAUUCCAUUCAGCCAAAAUCUGCUCCUGCGUCUCCGACGACCAGGACUCGAACAUUUCAUCCGCAGCAACGGCGCAAAGCUGGCGAUUGACAUCGUCAUUUUCCAGUUCGCUCAUAAAUUGAUCUCUCCUACAAAAUAUAGAAGUCGAUUACAUACACAAAACUCUCGAUAUUAUAUUAAUUUUCAG